rnacentral:rRNA from 1 species
GAGUUUGAUCGUGGCUCAGAACGAACGUUGGCGGCAUGGAUUAGGCAUGCAAGUCGAACGAAUCCCGGGGUAGCAAUACCUCGGGGGAAGUGGCGAAAGGGGCAGUAAUACCUGGAUAACCUACCCUGGGGUUGGGCAUAGCCGUUCUAACGAGCGGGUAAUUCCCAGCGAUUCGGCGAGUUCACAUGAAUUUGUCGGGAAAGAAUUUCGCCUCGGGAGGGGUCCAGGAGCUAUCAGCUAGUUGGCGGGGUAACGGCCCACCAAGGCUUAGACGGCUAGCGGGUGUGAGAGCACGACCCGCGCCACUGGCACUGAGACACUGGCCAGACACCUACGGGUGGCUGCAGUCGAGGAUCUUCGUCAAUGGGCGCAAGCCUGAACGAGCGAUGCCGCGUGAGCGAUGAAGGCCUUC